CAGCGAAGUCGAUCCCAGAGCAGCACCGAGGCUGCCUGCUAGACUGGGCCAGACCCGGGAAGCCCGUGGGUCCAACCCCUCCUUCGCCAGGGUGACCACUGCCCGAGUAGGGCUGGGGGUGGCGCCCUACUCCUAGAAAGGCCCUUGCUUCUCCUGCUGCCUCUGCUGAGCCUGCUUGUCCCGUCCGUCCUCAGGAGAGACUUCCGGUACUUGGCCCCUUUGCUUGGUGUCUCCUGGUUCUCAUCUGCAGUGGAGAAGUUGGCUCCUGGAGUUUACAGGAAGGUGGUGCAGGAGCCUUACGUUGGCUGGAGGGCCUUCUUUAUUGAGGUGAGGUCCUGGAGUCGCAACAGGAUGGACUGUGGAGCAGAAUGCGGGCGCCGCUGCUUCCCCGGAGUAGAAAGACCCAGAAGGUCCCAGGGAAAGCAGGCUGGCCCUGUCUAGACCACUCUUCAUUCUGCAGCUCUAGUCACGGGCAAAGCCUGCCAAACCUCUUCCCGCCACCGUCUCCACUGUCACCCUACCAGGGUGGGCCAGGUUGUGUGGCCUCUUGUCUGCACUCACGUUUGCUGCCAAGACGACAAUAUUCUCUGAGUCCUCCUCCCGUCGGGCAUUCACCUCCGAGAUUCUUGUCAUUCCUCCGACAUUCCCGUAUGAAGACUGCGUGGGCUCGGAGUGCACCGGGGUCAAAGUGUUCUAAAGCCGCUGUUGUACUCGGCUCCUGCCAUGUGUCCUUAGGCCUGGAAGACAGCAGUUCCUGCCGUUAGGUCUUCCCAGAAGUAGUUUAUAACAGCAAAUGGAAUAAAGAUCACACGAA